ACAACUCUAAGACCGGUCUGGUAGUGCCGCAGUUUCUUCUACGGACCUCGGUGCCGGGAAGUCCAAGGACUUCGAUAUUCCGGAUCUAUCACGAGGGUCUUCGAGUGGGUAUGUAGACAUGACAGAUAGCGUCUGAUGUGUUUUUGAUAAUAAUCAACUUCAUAGCUUAACGCGAACCAAAUUCUUUUACAUCCAGAACUCGGCUCUCUUAGAUACGGAAGUCCUGAUAACAUCUCAUUCACACACAGGUUCAUGCAUCACAUCUAGUUCCAUCCAUCACAGUAAAUGUUAGUUAACCUGUCAUGUUUUAAUUAUUGGUAAAAUAAAUUCUUACUUUUAUAAACCUGACUCUUUCCUGAAUCAUACCGAAGUGUGUACAAUCCCUGAAUAAACAAAGAAUCCUAGAAUCUUCUGAUAAACACCAUAAAGACCAAGCAGGGUUGAUAUUCUAUAUUUAGACAGAGUAUCACAGCUUAUUGGUCAUAAGUAGAGGUAAUAUACAUAUUGAGCUCUUAAAGCACUACUUUACCAAACCCUACGCUGAAGAGAGAGCAGGAAUGUUUGUGCAUUAGAUUCAUUUCAUUUUGCACACUGCUGACGGUGGCUGGGUGUCCUGAAACACCUUGGAGCCAACCUGGAGCGAGUACAUAAUCAGAGUCUUUGUGAUUAUGGAAGUUUGAAGACUUUUUGUGAGGUGGGGACAGCUUUACUGCGUGGGGAAUGGUCCCAUGACUCUCCGUUUUUAUCAUAUUAAAGAAUGUCUUCAUUGAUUUCACAGAUUUCAGUGCCUGAGCUGCAGAAUCACAGACCCCGGAGGACAGAAAGUCACCCACACAGCGAGGAUGAGGCUCCGGCAGCUGCUAACGCUCUGAGCGACAGCUUCACUCAGCAAAACUCGCUCUUCAACAAAGAAGCGCUGCAGGCAGAGGCAUGGAUCAAGAGCAAACUCCAGGAUCUAAAGGAUGGCUGUAACACUAAGUGCUGCCCCCUGCAGGACUGGGACGAGGCCUCUCAGACACUUCAAAGGGACCUGAAAGACUUUGAGAACACGUUUAUUCAGCUCAACCAGAUGGGCGAGCAGCUGAUCUGCAGGCUGAACCCCACAUCUGACCUUGUGAAGAAGCAGCUCAGCCAGCUCAAGGACCAAUGGCAGACCCUGAAACAGACGGCCACCAAUCAGACGCGUGCUUUAGGUGGAGCAAAGAGUCUGCGGGAUUUCAACAGAAAAGCGGAUAAGCUGGAGGCCUGGGUCAAAGAAAAGGAAGAGGAGCAGUCUCUGGUGAGUGUCCUGGGAGAAAACGUGGACAAGAUGCAGCUGACCAGGAAGAUCCUGGAUCUUAAACAGGACGAGCAGCUACACAGGAACCUGCACGAGGAGAUCAACAGCUUGGCUCUAAAACUGGAGAAACAAGGAAAGGCAGAGGGCAGAAACACCUCGAGCAGGAGGAAACACAUCAACAAGAUGUGGCUUCGGGUCCAGUCCAGGCUGAAAAACUACCACGAAACUCUUCAGCAGGCUCUUGAGGUGUCAUCGUUUUACCAGCAGGCAGAUAAUACCUUGGAGAUUAUUAAUAAAUUGGUAAAACGGCAGAAAUUCCAAAUGCAUAUUUUUAACUUUUGA
rnacentral:lncRNA from 1 species